CAAGUUCCGUGUCAGCUGUGGGAGCGCAGGUGAGGGUAAUUCAGCUGUGCUCCUGGAAGGGGUGGAGAUUGACUCCACCUCCUCUAGACCUCAUUUAAGGGCUGACCACCAGAGAAGCAGCAUCAAUUUGAGGUUGCUCUUUGGUGGAGGUUGUUUUAGUGUUUUCCAGCAGACUGAAGGCCUCUAUUGGGUGAGUCUUUCCUUUAAGUAACCUUUUGGAUACUUAUCACUGCCUCUCUUAUACCAUCUUCACAUUCUUGUCACUAUACAUCACUGUUCAAACUGUCUGGUCCAUACACUAGGCAAAAAGUCCAUGUAGCCUAUGGUUGUGGGUGCACAAGUAUUGAUGGAGAAAAAUGGAGACUUCAGACCUUCCCUUCAGUUCUGACCAUUUUGGCUACCAGAUCAAAGGAUACCAUCUGAUACUGCAGCUGUAUAAGCAUCUUGCAGUCAGGAAACAAAAAGGCUGAGAAAACAGUCAAAAUGAACUGUGGGGUUGGAGCUGAGAAGCCAUCAACCACUGUAAUGUCAAGCCAGCUGAAAGAGCCCUGACAGCAAAAAAUGGAGAAGGAAAAUUAUGAAUUAUGUGAACUGCACAGAACAGAAGGCCAGGAAGUGAACCCAGAGGAGCAUCAGACAAUUACCAUUAUGUUUGAUGUGUAUUUAUUUAAUUGAUGUGGUAAAGACAAUACUUUGGAGCAAUAAAUCACACCCUAAGUUGUUAUUUA
rnacentral:lncRNA from 1 species